GUGCUCGCUUCGGCAGCACAUAUACUAAAAUUGGAACGAUACAGAGAAGAUUAGCAUGGCCCCUGCGCAAAUAUAAUGCUCAAUAUUACUAGCCAUUAGAGAAACAC
ensembl:snRNA U6 U6 spliceosomal RNA